rnacentral:rRNA from 1 species
GACGAACGCGGCGGCGUGCUUAACACAUGCAAGUCGAACGGAGCGAAUGAAAGCUUGCUUUUAUGAGCUUAGUGGCAAACGGGUGAGUAACACGUAGACAACCUGCCGAUAGGAUGGGGACAACAUUCCGAAAGGAAUGCUAAUACCGAAUGGCGUGUAGGGGAGGCAUCUCCCGUACAUGAAAGAUGGCCUCUGAAUAUGCUAUCACCUAUCGAUGGGUCUGCGUCUGAUUAGCUAGUAGGUAAGGUAACGGCUUACCUAGGCGACGAUCAGUAGCCGGUCUGAGAGGAUGAACGGCCACAUUGGGACUGAGACACGGCCCAGACUCCUACGGGAGGCAGCAGUGGGGAAUCUUCCGCAAUGGGCGCAAGCCUGACGGAGCAACGCCGCGUGAGUGAAGAAGGUCUUCGGAUCGUAAAGCUUCUG